rnacentral:lncRNA from 1 species
ACCCCAGCCCGCUUCUUCAGCAAUAACCCUCGAGUCAUUCCAGUCCAGCGGCCGCCCUAGAGGACUGCCUCGGUUCCCCGCACUAGGGGUGGCUCUGCCUGGGGGGGGUGCGCAUCAUGGAUGCCUCUCACGUUGUCCGUUGGCAGUCCGCAGUCAGCGUGACCACGCGCCCCUUCGGAGAGACCCCACGCUCACCUGGGCCGCGACGGUCACGCCGGAUAACUGACAGGCCCGCAGCAUUUCUGCCGAAGCGACAGCGCUGCUGGUGGACGCGGGAACGACCGCGGCCGCACGAGAGGAGGGCGUGCGUGCUGGUGUGCGUGCCCGCGUCUGUACAGCCUAGCUGCGUCCGGCGCACCGGAAGGGCCACCGGCACCACUGCGCACGCGCCGCCUCCUCCCCUGCUACAGCCGAGGCGGCUCCCUGAGGGUGGGACUCACCCCGGCUGCGAAAAGGGGAGUAAAGCGGUGAUUGGCGACUAGGAGGCGGAAGGGCAGGUUCUCCUUCCGGGUCGCGCUUGGGCGCUAGUUUGUCUGCAGAUGACCGGGUUACUAGGUGAACUGGCCGGAGAGUGCUGUGUAAAGUUCGACUGUGACUCUUAGAAUUAAAGCGUUGGUGAAUUAAAU